CAUGUUGACAAACAGCAUAAUGCGGUUCAAUAGAAUGUAGGUGAAAGUAUUUUGCUUUCUUUUAGUUUUAGUUUAAUUCGCAAUAAAAAUGGAAGAACUAAAAGAUCCCUCUUAAUAAAAACAAAAAUGAUCGAACUCUAAUAGCAGUUUUGGGUGGUAAAAAAAAGUUGGGGCAAGUGAUUAUAAUAUGGUUUACGAGCCGAUAGAAAAACAUCAUGAUUGGAUAAGGAUAAAUACAGAUGGGGAAAUCAAUCCACAACGAUGCUGAGUAUGUUGCUAAGCCUAUGCUCCACACCUACCUGGUUCCAUCUCCAGUUUACUCAAAGUUAUUGUAAUUACAGCUGAUGUAAGAUUUGGCAGUGUUGUCAUUAAGACGCUACACCACUUUCAUCUUAUUUUUCG